AAGAUGAUGGGGGGGGGGCGUGCAUAAUGAAAACCCACAACUUGCAACAUUGGAAACAAUGAAAGAUUGAAAACUUUUUCCCCUUAGGGAAGGAAUAAGACAAAGAUGCCUGCUUUUGCCACUUCUACUUAGAAUCAUUCUAGAAAUUCUAGCCAGACCAAUGAGGUCCCCCUUCUCCAGGGCUACUGCAGUUUGCUGGAGGUUCACUCCAGACCCUGUUCACCUGAGUAUCACCCAUGGAGACUGCAGAACAGCAAAGAUUGCUUGUUCCUCUGGAAGCUUUAUCCCAGAGGGGCACCCGCCUGAUGCCAGCUGGAGUUCUUCUGUAUGAGCUCCCUUUCCAGGGGACUGGAUGGUUCUCCUGUCUUGCUGGAGUUCCAGGCACUGAUGAAGUAUGAAUAAAAUCUUGCAGGUAGCUCAGUGCUUGCCCAAACAACUGCUCAAUAAUGUGCUUGAAACCCAGGGUCCUGCUGGUGUAGGGUCAUGAGGGAGUCUCCUGAUCUGCAGAUUGCAAAAAUUCAUGGGAAAAUCAUAAUACCUGGAGCAGGUAACAGUCCCUCACCACUUCCCUUGGCUGCAGGGAGGACGGUUCCCCAGUUCCUUGCACUUCCUGAGUAAAGCAAUGCCCUACCCUGCUUCUUCUCGCCCUCUGUGGGCUGCACCCACCAUCUAACCAGUCUCAAUGAUAUGAACUGGGUAGCUCAGUUGGAAACAAAGAAAUCACCCACCUUCUGUGUUGGUCUUGCUGGGAGCUGCAGACCUGAGCUGUUCCUAUUCAGCCAUCUUGGCCCCUU
rnacentral:lncRNA from 1 species